rnacentral:misc_RNA from 1 species
AGCGUCAUUUAAACCUUCAAGCUCUGCUUGGUGUUGGGUGUUUGUUCCGCCCCCGUGCGUGGACUCGCCUUAAAUUCAUUGGCAGCCGGUAUGUUGGCUUCGUGCGCAGCACAUUGCAAACGAUCCAAGUAUACCCCCUCCCAUUAAGCUCUCCUUUUUACUUUGACCUCGGAUCAGGUAGGGAUACCCGCUGAACUUAA